rnacentral:rRNA from 1 species
AUUGAACGCUGGCGGCAUGCCUUACACAUGCAAGUCGAACGGCAGCGGACCUUCGGGUGCCGGCGAGUGGCGAACGGGUGAGUAAUAUAUCGGAACGUACCUUUCAGUGGGGGAUAACGUAGCGAAAGUUACGCUAAUACCGCAUAUUCUGUGAGCAGGAAAGCAGGGGAUCGCAAGACCUUGCGCUGAUUGAGCGGCCGAUAUCAGAUUAGCUGGUUGGUGAGGUAAAGGCUCACCAAGGCGACGAUCUGUAGCGGGUCUGAGAGGAUGAUCCGCCACACUGGAACUGAGACACGGUCCAGACUCCUACGGGAGGCAGCAGUAGGGAAUUUUGGACAAUGGGCGCAAGCCUGAUCCAGCCAUGCCGCGUGAGUGAAGAAGGCCUCGGUUGUAAG